GAUUGAACGCUGGCGGCAUGCUUUACACAUGCAAGUCGAACGGCAGCACGGGUGCUUGCACCUGGUGGCGAGUGGCGGACGGGUGAGUAAUACAUCGGAACGUGUCCAGAAGAGGGGGAUAACGCAUCGAAAGAUAUGCUAAUACCGCAUAUGCUCUGAGGAGGAAAGUAGGGGAUCGAAAGACCUUACGCUUUUGGAGCGGCCGAUGUCUGAUUAGCUAGUUGGUAGGGUAAAGGCCUACCAAGGCCACGAUCGGUAGCUGGUCUGAGAGGAUGAUCAGCCACACUGGGACUGAGACACGGCCCAGACUCCUACGGGAGGCAGCAGUGGGGAAUAUUGGACAAUGGGCGCAAGCCUGAUCCAGCAAUGCCGCGUGUGUGAAGAAGGCCUGCGGGUUGUAAAGCACUUUCAGUGGGGAAGAACAGAUUCGGGUCAAUACCCCGGAGCCCUGACGUUACCCACAGAAGAAGCACCGGCUAACUCCGUG
rnacentral:rRNA from 1 species